rnacentral:rRNA from 1 species
AUUGAACGCUGGCGGCAGGCCUAACACAUGCAAGUCGAGCGGAGCGGCGGACGGGUGAGUAAUGCCUAGGCCUCCGCCUGGUAGUGGGGGAUAACGUCCGGAAACGGGCGCUAACACCGCAUACUAUCAGAUGAGUCUAGGUCGGAUUAGCUAGUGGGUGGGGUAAAGGCCUACCAAGGCUACGAUCCGUAACUGGUCUGAGAGGAUGAUCAGUCACACGGGAACUGAGACACGGUCCAGACUCCUACGGGAGGCAGAAGUGGGGAAUAUUGGACAAUGGGCGAAGGCCUGAUCCAGCCAGGCCGCGUGUGUGACGAAGGUCUUCGGAUUGUAAAGCACUUUAAGUUGGGAGGCGUUACCAACAGAAUAAGCACCGGCUAACUUCGUGCCAGCAGCCGCGGUAAUUC